rnacentral:rRNA from 1 species
UACGUAGGUGGCAAGCGUUGUCCGGAUUUAUUGGGUUUAAAGGGUGCGUAGGCGGCUUGAUAAGUCAGUGGUGAAAGCCGAUCGCUUAACGAUCGAACUGCCAUUGAUACUGCCAGGCUUGAGUAUAGUUGAGGUAGGCGGAAUUGACAGUGUAGCGGUGAAAUGCAUAGAUAUUGUCAAGAACACCAAUUGCGAAGGCAGCUUACUAAAGUAUAACUGACGCUGAGGCACGAAAGUGCGGGGAGUCAAAAC